CCGAUGCUGACUGAAUGAGGUGAACCAUGUGAUAUCAAUGGGGUAAAUUUCAACUAUGCAAAUGCUGUUUCAGUCAAGUGGUUGAUCCAGUUAAAGUGAGCAAUUCCGAGGUUGAAUAGCGUAUGUUUAGUGAGGGGCAAGAGUUCAAGACAAGUGCUUGAAGAGUAAGAGAUAUAUACCAGGGCACACAUCUUCAGUUCUGGGUGGAAUUAUAAACCUUGUUCUCUAUCUUCUCAUUUUAACGGGCAGAGAUUAUAGAAAACUGUCAAUAGGUAAAGGAGUCCGUAAAUUUUUGUUCCCAUCACUAUCAAAAAAUACAUUAGCUUGCAAAUUUUUUUAUAGUUUAACGGGGAAUUUGGAUUUAUUGUGGAAAAAGAGAAAUUCCAUCGCGUUUCUAAAGCAAUGACUACCUUAUGCAACACUUGUCUAUAGACUGAGUAGAAAAAUUUGUGAUAUUUUAUGAUCUGUCAACAUGUAAAACUUUUUGACUCAAUACAUAAUUUUGUUGAGAGAGAUCA